rnacentral:rRNA from 1 species
GGGUUGUGAGGUUAAGCGAAUAAGCGUACACGGUGGAUGCCUAGGCAAUCAGAGGCGAUGAAGGACGUGCUAAUCUGCGAAAAGCGUCGGUAAGGUGAUAUGAACCGUUAUACCCGACGAUAUCCGAAUGGGGAAACCUAGUAUCCAAUGGAUACUAUCAUUAACUGAAUCCAUAGGUUAAUGAGGCGAACCGGGAGAACUGAAACAUCUCAGUACCCCGAGGAAAAGAAAUCAACCGAGAUUCCCCUAGUAGCGGCGAGCGAACGGGGAGCAGCCCAGAGUCUUAAUCAAUAACAGUGUCAGGAGAACGGUCUGGAAAGUCCGGCAGUAAAGGGUGAUAGCCCCGUAUCUGAAGAUGCUGUUAUUGUGAACUCGACGAGUAGGGCGGGACACGUGUUAUCCUGUCUGAAUAUGGGGGGACCAUCCUCCAAGGCUAAAUACUCCUGAUUGACCGAUAGUGAACCAGUACCGUGAGGGAAAGGCGAAAAGAACCCCGGCGAGGGGAGUGAAAAAGAACCUGAAACCGUGUACGUACAAGCAGUAGGAGCCUCUUUAUGGGGUGACUGCGUACCUUUUGUAUAAUGGGUCAGCGACUUAUAUUCUGUAGCGAGGUUAACCGUAUAGGGGAGCCGUAGGGAAACCGAGUCUUAACUGGGCGAAUGAGUUGCAGGGUAUAGACCCGAAACCCGGUGAUCUAUCCAUGGGCAGGUUGAAGGUUGGGUAACACUAACUGGAGGACCGAACCGACUAAUGUUGAAAAAUUAGCGGAUGACUUGUGGAUGGGGUGAAAGGCCAAUCAAACCGGGAGAUAGCUGGUUCUCCCCGAAAGCUAUUUAGGUAGCGCCUCGUGAACUCAUCUUCGGGGGUAGAGCACUGUUUCGACUAGGGGGUCAUCCCGACUUACCAACUCGAUGCAAACUGCGAAUACCGAAGAAUGUUAUCACGGGAGACACACGGCGGGUGCUAACGUCCGUCGUGAAGAGGGAAACAACCCAGACCGCCAGCUAAGGUCCCAAAGUCAUGGUUAAGUGGGAAACGAAGUGGGAAGGCUCAGACAGCCAGGAUGUUGGCUUAGAAGCAGCCAUCAUUUAAAGAAAGCGUAAUAGCUCACUGGUCGAGUCGGCCCGCGCGGAAGAUGUAACGGGGCUAAACCAUGCACCGAAGCUGCGGCAGCGACACAUAGUGUUGUUGGGUAGGGGAGCGUUCUGUAAGCCUGCGAAGGUGUACUGUGAGGUAUGCUGGAGGUAUCAGAAGUGCGAAUGCUGACAUAAGUAACGAUAAUGCGGGUGAAAACCCGCACGCCGGAAGACCAAGGGUUCCUGUCCAACGUUAAUCGGGGCAGGGUGAGUCGACCCCUAAGGCGAGGCUGAAAAGCGUAGUCGAUGGGAAACGGGUUAAUAUUCCCGUACUGGUGGUAACUGCGAUGGGGGAACGGAGAAGGCUAGGUUGUCCGGGCGACGGUCGUCCCGGUUCAAGCAGGUAGGCAGAGUGAUUAGGCAAAUCCGGUCACUUAAUGCUGAGAUGUGAUGACGAACCACCAAGGUGGUGAAGCAAUUGAUGCCCCGCUUCCAGGAAAAGCCUCUAAGCUUCAGGUUACCAACAAUCGUACCCCAAACCGACACAGGUGGUCAGGUAGAGAAUACUCAGGCGCUUGAGAGAACUCGGGUGAAGGAACUAGGCAAAAUGGUGCCGUAACUUCGGGAGAAGGCACGCUGGCGGUAGGUAAAGUCCCUCGCGGACGGCGCUGAAGCCAGUCGAAGAUACCAGCUGGCUGCAACUGUUUAUUAAAAACACAGCACUGUGCAAACACGAAAGUGGACGUAUACGGUGUGACGCCUGCCCGGUGCUGGAAGGUUAAUUGAUGGGGUUAGCGCAAGCGAAGCUCCUGAUCGAAGCCCCAGUAAACGGCGGCCGUAACUAUAACGGUCCUAAGGUAGCGAAAUUCCUUGUCGGGUAAGUUCCGACCUGCACGAAUGGCGUAAUGAUGGCCAGGCUGUCUCCACCCGAGACUCAGUGAAAUUGAACUCGCUGUGAAGAUGCAGUGUACCCGCGGCAAGACGGAAAGACCCCGUGAACCUUUACUAUAGCUUGACACUGAACAUUGAGCCUUGAUGUGUAGGAUAGGUGGGAGGCUUUGAAGUGUGGACGCCAGUCUGCAUGGAGCCAACCUUGAAAUACCACCCUUUAACGUUUGAUGUUCUAACCUAGGCCCAUAAACUGGGUCGGGGACCGUGUCUGGUGGGUAGUUUGACUGGGGCGGUCUCCUCCUAAAGAGUAACGGAGGAGCACGAAGGUUGGCUAAGCAUGGUCGGACAUCAUGCGGUUAGUGCAAAGGCAUAAGCCAGCUUGACUGCGAGAGUGACGGCUCGAGCAGGUACGAAAGUAGGUCUUAGUGAUCCGGUGGUUCUGAAUGGAAGGGCCAUCGCUCAACGGAUAAAAGGUACUCCGGGGAUAACAGGCUGAUACCGCCCAAGAGUUCAUAUCGACGGCGGUGUUUGGCACCUCGAUGUCGGCUCAUCACAUCCUGGGGCUGAAGUAGGUCCCAAGGGUAUGGCUGUUCGCCAUUUAAAGUGGUACGCGAGCUGGGUUUAGAACGUCGUGAGACAGUUCGGUCCCUAUCUGCCGUGGGCGUUGGAAGAUUGAGAGGGGUUGCUCCUAGUACGAGAGGACCGGAGUGAACGCACCACUGGUGUUCGGGUUGUCAUGCCAAUGGCAUUGCCCGGUAGCUAAGUGCGGAAGAGAUAACCGCUGAAAGCAUCUAAGCGGGAAACUUGCCUCGAGAUGAGUCUUCCCUGUCGCUUUAAGCGACCUAAAGGAACGUUUAAGACUAAGACGUUGAUAGGCUGGGUGUGUAAGCGUAGCGAUACGUUGAGCUAACCAGUACUAAUGAACCGUGAGGCUUAACCUGACAACACCGAAGGUGUUU